AUUGAACGCUGGCGGCAGGCCUAACACAUGCAAGUCGAGCGGAUGAAGGGAGCUUGCUCCUGGAUUCAGCGGCGGACGGGUGAGUAAUGCCUAGGAAUCUGCCUGGUAGCGGGGGAUAACGUCCGGAAACGGGCGCUAAUACCGCAUACGUCCUGAGGGAGAAAGUGGGGGAUCUUCGGACCUCACGCUAUCAGAUGAGCCUAGGUCGGAUUAGCUAGUUGGUGGGGUAAAGGCCUACCAAGGCGACGAUCCGUAACUGGUCUGAGAGGAUGAUCAGUCACACUGGAACUGAGACACGGUCCAGACUCCUACGGGAGGCAGCAGUGGGGAAUAUUGGACAAUGGGCGAAAGCCUGAUCCAGCCAUGCCGCGUGUGUGAAGAAGGUCUUCGGAUUGUAAAGCCCUUUAAGUUGGGAGGAAGGGCAGUAAGUUAAUACCUUGCUGUUUUGACGUUACCAACAGAAUAAGCACCGGCUAACUUCGUG
rnacentral:rRNA from 1 species